rnacentral:snRNA from 1 species
AUCACUUCUCGGCCUUUUGGCUAAGAUCAAGUGUAGUAUCUGUUCUUAUCAGUUUAAUAUCUGAGAUAGCCUCUAUCUGAGGACAAUAUAUAUGUGGUUUCUCAAGUUACAUAAC